rnacentral:rRNA from 1 species
AGUCUGCAACCCGACUACAUGAAGCUGGAAUCGCUAGUAAUGGCAGGUCAGCAUACUGCCGUGAAUACGUUCCCGGGCCUUGUACACACCGCCCGUCACACCAUGAGAGUUGGAAAUACCCGAAGCCUGUGAGCUAACUUAAAGAGGCAGCAGUCGAAGGUAGAGCCAAUGAUUGGGGUGAAGUCGUAACAAGGUAAC